AGAUGAAAUAUGGUCAAGCUGAGACUGCAAAGUUUGUUGGUUCUGCUUCAGCUCUGCCAACUCUGCCUGAUGGCGAUCCUUCAUAUCUUCAAUUGUUGCCCGAAGUCUACUAACUUCUGCAUUGCUGCUACCUUCUCCAACAUUUUUUGUAUACAUUCCCACUGCAGACAACUGAGUGGGGGUAACUCCAAUGCCAUAA
rnacentral:lncRNA from 1 species